rnacentral:rRNA from 2 species
UGGGUUAUGCUAUGGGCCUACCAGACGAUGACGCAUAACUGGUUUGAGAGGAUGAUCAGUCACACUGGAACUGAGACACGGUCCAGACUCCUACGGGAGGCAGCAGUGGGGAAUAUUGCACAAUGGACGAAAGUCUGAUGCAGCAACGCCGCGUGGAGGAUGACACAUUUCGGUGCGUAAACUCCUUUUAUAUAAGAAGAUAAUGACGGUAUUAUAUGAAUAAGCACCGGCUAACUCCGUGCCAGCAGCCGCGGUAAUACGGAGGGUGCAAGCGUUACUCGGAAUCACUGGGCGUAAAGAGCGUGUAGGCGGAUUGAUAAGUUUGAAGUGAAAUCCUAUAGCUUAACUAUAGAACUGCUUUGAAAACUGUUAAUCUAGAAUGUGGGAGAGGUAGAUGGAAUUUCUGGUGUAGGGGUAAAAUCCGUAGAGAUCAGAAGGAAUACCGAUUGCGAAGGCGAUCUACUGGAACAAUAUUGACGCUGAGACGCGAAAGCGUGGGGAGCAAACAGGAUUAGAUACCCUGGUAGUCCACGCCCUAAACGAUGUACACUAGUUGUUGUGAGGCUCGACCUUGCAGUAAUGCAGUUAACACAUUAAGUGUACCGCCUGGGGAGUACGGUCGCAAGAUUAAAACUCAAAGGAAUAGACGGGGACCCGCACAAGCGGUGGAGCAUGUGGUUUAAUUCGACGAUACACGAAGAACCUUACCUGGACUUGACAUAGUAAGAAUGAUUUAGAGAUAGAUUAGUGUCUGCUUGCAGAAACUUGCAUACAGGUGCUGCACGGCUGUCGUCAGCUCGUGUCGUGAGAUGUUGGGUUAAGUCCCGCAACGAGCGCAACCCUCGUCCUUAGUUGCUAACAGUUCGGCUGAGAACUCUAAGGAGACUGCCUACGCAAGUAGGAGGAAAGUGAGGAUGACGUCAAGUCAUCAUGGCCCUUACGUCCAGGGCUACACACGUGCUACAAUGGGGUAUACAAAGAGCAGCAAUACGGUGACGUGGAGCAAAUCUCAAAAAUGCCUCCCAGUUCGGAUUGUAGUCUGCAACUCGACUACAUGAAGUUGGAAUCGCUAGUAAUCGUAGAUCAGCUAUGCUACGGUGAAUACGUUCCCGGGUCUGUACUCACCGCCCGUACGACAACUCGGA